rnacentral:rRNA from 1 species
UAGGGAAUCUUCGGCAAUGGGGGGAACCCUGACCGAGCAACGCCGCGUGAGUGAAGAAGGUUUUCGGAUCGUAAAGCUCUGUUGUUAAGGAAGAACGAGUGUGAGAAUGGAAAGUUCAUGCUGUGACGGUACUUAACCAGAAAGGGACGGCUAACUACGUGCCAGCAGCCGCGGUAAUACGUAGGUCCCGAGCGUUGUCCGGAUUUAUUGGGCGUAAAGCGAGCGCAGGCGGUUAGAAAAGUCUGAAGUGAAAGGCAGUGGCUCAACCAUUGUAGGCUUUGGAAACUGUUUAACUUGAGUGCAGAAGGGGAGAGUGGAAUUCCAUGUGUAGCGGUGAAAUGCGUAGAUAUAUGGAGGAACACCGGUGGCGAAAGCGGCUCUCUGGUCUGUAGCUGACGCGGAGGCUCGAAAGCGUGGGGAGCGAACAGG